AGAGUUUGAUCCUGGCUCAGGAUGAACGCUAGCGGCAGGCCUAAUACAUGCAAGUCGAACGGGAUCCGGUCGUAGCUUGCUACGAUCGGUGAGAGUGGCGCACGGGUGCGUAACGCGUGAGCAACCUACCCAUAUCAGGGGGAUAGCCCGGAGAAAUCCGGAUUAACACCGCAUGCAACCAUUAGAUGGCAUCAUCAUAUGGUUAAAUAUUCAUAGGAUAUGGAUGGGCUCGCGUGACAUUAGCUGGUUGGUGGGGUAACGGCCCACCAAGGCGACGAUGUCUAGGGGCUCUGAGAGGAGAAUCCCCCACACUGGUACUGAGACACGGACCAGACUCCUACGGGAGGCAGCAGUAAGGAAUAUUGGUCAAUGGGGGCAACCCUGAACCAGCCAUGCCGCGUGCAGGAUGACUGCCCUAUGGGUUGUAAACUGCUUUUGCCGGGGAAUAAACCCCUCCACGAGUGGAGGGCUGAAUGUACCCGGAGAAUAAGGAUCGGCUAACUCCGUGCCAGCCGCCGCGGUAAUUC
rnacentral:rRNA from 1 species